rnacentral:rRNA from 1 species
GGCAGCGCGAUGUAGCAAUACAUUGGCGGCGACCGGCGGAAGGGUGCGUAACGCGUGAGCAACAUACCCGUAUCAGGGGGAUAGGAGAUGGAAGCGUCUUAUAAUACCCCAUAACAACAGAAGUUGCAUGACUUUUGUUUGAAAGAUUCAUUGGAUACGGAUUGGCUCGCGUGACAUUAGCUAGUCGGCGGGGUAACGGCCCACCGAGGCGACGAUGUCUAGGGGAACUGAGAGGUUGGUCCCCCACACUGGAACUGAGACACGGUCCAGACUCCUACGGGAGGCAGCAGUGAGGAAUAUUGGUCAAUGGGCGGAAGCCUGAACCAGCCAUGCCGCGUGCAGGACUAAGGCCCUAUGGGUCGUAAACUGCUUUUGACGGGGAGCAAUAAGGGUGUCGUGACACCCGAUGAGAGUACUCGUCGAAUAAGCAUCGGCUAACUCCGUGCCAGCAGCCGCGGUAAUACGGAGGAUGCAAGCGUUAUCCGGAUUUAUUGGGUUUAAAGGGUGCGUAGGCGGAGGAGUAAGUCAGGGGUGAAAUGCCGCAGCUCAACUGCGGAACUGCCUUUGAUACUGCUUUUCUGGAGUCCGGAUGCCGUGGGAGGAAUGGGCA